AGAGUUUGAUCAUGGCUAGGAAGAACGCUGGCGGCGUGCUUAAUACAUGCAAGUCGAACGGAGACAGUAGCAAUAUUGUCUUAGUGGCGAACGGGUGAGUAACGCGUUGGUGACCUGCCUCGAAGAGAGGGAUAACAGUUCGAAAGGAUUGCUAAUACCUCAUGUGGUUGCUUGGGUUAGAGACCUUGCAACUAAACGGAUUUAUUCGCUUCGAGAGGGGCCUGCGUCCCAUCAGCUAGUUGGUAGGGUAAUGGCCUACCAAGGCGAUGACGGGUAGGGGACCUGAGAGGGUGGCCCCCCACAAUGGAACUGAAACACGGUCCAUACACCUACGGGUGGCAGCAGUAGGGAAUAUUGGUUAAUCUGGGAAACCGGGAACCAGCAACGCCGCGUGCGCGAUGAAGGCCUUCGGGUUGUAAAGCGCUUUUAGAGAGGAUGAGGAAGGACAGUACUCUCUGAAUAAGCCUCGGCUAACUACGUGCCAGCAGCCGCGGUACUA
rnacentral:rRNA from 1 species